rnacentral:rRNA from 1 species
AGAGUUUGAUCCUGGCUCAGGAUGAACGCUGGCGGCGUGCCUAAUACAUGCAAGUCGAGCGAACAGACGAGGAGCUUGCUCCUCUGACGUUAGCGGCGGACGGGUGAGUAACACGUGGAUAACCUACCUAUAAGACUGGGAUAACUUCGGGAAACCGGAGCUAAUACCGGAUAAUAUAUUGAACCGCAUGGUUCAAUAGUGAAAGACGGUUUUGCUGUCACUUAUAGAUGGAUCCGCGCCGCAUUAGCUAGUUGGUAAGGUAACGGCUUACCAAGGCAACGAUGCGUAGCCGACCUGAGAGGGUGAUCGGCCACACUGGAACUGAGACACGGUCCAGACUCCUACGGGAGGCAGCAGUAGGGAAUCUUCCGCAAUGGGCGAAAGCCUGACGGAGCAACGCCGCGUGAGUGAUGAAGGUCUUCGGAUCGUAAAACUCUGUUAUUAGGGAAGAACAAAUGUGUAAGUAACUAUGCACGUCUUGACGGUACCUAAUCAGAGAGCCACGGCUAACUACGUGCCAGCAGCCGCGGUAAUACGUAGGUGGCAAGCGUUAUCCGGAAUUAUUGGGCGUAACGCGCGCGUAGGCGGUUUUUUAAGUCUGAUCUGAAAGCCCACGGCUCAACCGUGGAGGGUCAUUGGAAACUGGAAAACUUGAGUGC